rnacentral:misc_RNA from 1 species
AAGGCCUCCACAAGAAGUUCACGAACUUUGUCACGUAAAGCAUCAUUACAUUUGACCAAUGUAGUAAGCUUUGGUGGAGCAAUAGGAGCUUGAGAUGGUUUCUUCCCAUUAGAAACAUGUUUCUCCUCCUUGGAUAUCUUUUCAACCUUGAUAGUUUCUUCACGAUCAAUUUUUUCAACCCUAACCGUGCCUGCUUUAUGAAUCUUCUCAACUUUAACGGUCUCUACCUUCGAAACCUCAGCUUUCCCAGAACUUUUAUUAUCAAUGGCACCAUUUUUCUUUCUGGUGGUCUCAUCAAUAACUAUCUUUUUCC